UAAUGGAUUCCUAUUGCUACAGGAAUGUC
rnacentral:piRNA from 1 species